rnacentral:rRNA from 1 species
GAUGAACGCUGGCGGCGUGCCUAAUACAUGCAAGUCGAGCGAAUGGAUUAAGAGCUUGCUCUUAUGAAGUUAGCGGCGGACGGGUGAGUAACACGUGGGUAACCUGCCCAUAAGACUAGGAUAACUCCGGGAAACCGGGGCUAAUACCGGAUAACAUUUUGAACCGCAUGGUUCGAAAUUGAAAGGCGGCUUCGGCUGUCACUUAUGGAUGGACCCGCGUCGCAUUAGCUAGUUGGUGAGGUAACGGCUCACCAAGGCAACGAUGCGUAGCCGACUUGAGAGGGGGAUCGGCCACACGGGGACUGAGACACGGCCCAGCCUCCUACGGGAGGCAGCAGUAGGGAAUCUUCCGCAAUGGACGAAAGUCUGACGGAGCAACGCCGAGUGAGUGAUGAAGGCUUUCGGGUCGUAAAACUCUGUUGUUAGGGAAGAACAAGUGCUAGUUGAAUAAGCUGACACCUUGACGGUACCUAACCAGAAAGCCACGGCUAACUACGUGCCAGCCGCCGCAGUAA